rnacentral:lncRNA from 1 species
CAAGAACAGAACAUGAAGUGAAACUGAUUUUUCAGAAACAGGGAGUUAUAGGAACCAUAUCGGAAGGAGACAUAAAAGGCAGAAGUGCUUGGAAUCUGAGCACUGUGGGAGGAUGAGCUAAGAGUAGGGAGAGAAGAGUGGUGAAGGUGAAGAUUGAUGACGACUUUGACGACAGUGAGCAAUCAAUUUUAAGCACUUAUUGUGCACAAGCCGAACAUUAUGUACCUUAUUGCCACUAACUAGAUACCUAUGAAAAUGGAAAUUAUUUUUUGGCUAACUUUAUAGCAGCUCAGAACAUCCUGCAAAUCCAGACCAUACACAAUAAGUAUUUGAGUGACUCGAAUCCACUAAAAAUUGGGUAUAUUAGAAUCUGGGGUGUGAAUACCUAUGUGACACAAGUCAGUUUCACCUAUGACAACCGGCAAUUUAUGGAGACAAAUUUCAGGAGUGAACCUUAUAAUCAGAUACUAACUAUUCAAUUGACUAACAAGACUAUCAACCUGGAAAAGUUAACUGAGGUUACUUGGAUUGAUGGUGGUCCUGUACUUCCUACUCCAACUAAGACAAGUACCAUCCCAAUGAGUUCUCAUCCUUCUCCAUCUACUACCAAUGCCACCAGUUCUGAGACAAUCACCAGUUCUGCCAGUGCAAAUACUACCACUGGCACUACUGCUACUGUUCCUAUCACAACCACAUCUUUCCCAAGUACUACUAGUGUUACAACUAAUACUACUGUUCCUG